rnacentral:ncRNA from 1 species
ACAUUCGUGGAUAGCCUGUGCAAUAGCGUCCAUAGUCAAGUCCACCACUUGAUCACGAGCCCGUCUGUAUGUUGCAUCUCUUCCUUGAUGGCCUGAGGUGUCAUGGGCCUCAUGAUCCUUCUGGCUUUUUGGGUUUUAAACAGGAGGUGUCAGAAAAGUUACCACAGGCAUAACUGACUUGUGGCAGCCAAGCGUUCAUAGCAAUGUCACUUUUUGAUCCUUAGGGAGU